UCCCGCGUGGCUCAGUUAGUAGAGCAUGGCGCUUGCAACACCGGGGUUUGGGUUUUGAUUCCCACGGGGGAC
rnacentral:tRNA from 1 species